UGCCAAAGUCGACCGCGACUGGCUCAGCCUGUGUCCAUCCCUGCAGCCAGAGAAAUGUGCCGCUGUGCUGGGCCAGGCCUGGGCCCGUGGAAGCACAUGAACAGACGGGGAAGAGCUGCUGCCCCAAAGGAAAAGCCUUGUGCUGCCCUCACAAGAAGGAGAUGCUGGGCAGGAAGAACAUUAUCACAUCUGCUUCGACCAAUGGGGUUAUCGGUUCUUUUGAGCUCACCCUGAGGUCUGUCCUGGGCAGUUUUCAGACUCGUGCAGAGGGUUUGGAUAAGGCCUCGAGUGGCUGCAGGCUUCCACAGAGAAGAGCUGCCUUUGGGGUGCUGGGGGACAGGGAGAUUCUUACUCACCAAGGUUAACACUGCGCAUACUGUUAUCCGGAGGAAGCGGGAAUUUCCACACGAUGCGGGCCUCUGGUUUGCUGGGCUACAGCUGUGUUCUCGGAGCCACUGCCCACUUCCCAGGACAGAUGACACUUGUCUCUAACUGCAUCAUCCAGCACAGAAGCUGCUACUGUGGCUUGAAAUGUGGCCAGUCCAAAAUAAGAUGGAUGCUGAGGCCUGAAAAUUCUAAACUCUUCUCAAAACUAGCUGGAGGAUGAAGUCAACAAGCAGGAGGGCAGAGCCAGAGGCAUAGGAGAACUUGAGUAAACGAGCCUGCACGCUCACACGUAAAGGAGCUACACUGAUCGAGACUGCAAUUCUUCCAUCAAGUGGCAAGCAUACUGUAGAAGAAUGACCAACACAGGUCACACAUGCAGCCUGUUAAAGAAAACAUGUGAAAUGUAAACAGCUAUUUAAUCUGAAAAAAUAUAUAGCUGCAGGUGAAAGAGUAAUAGUAUAUUUGUGUACAGAGUUCUCCACAGCACAAGAUGCGCUGUGGGCAGACAGGGUAGUACAAUGGACUAAGCCCCUGGUCUCAUGAAGCUUGUAAUUACAGACAAAUGAAACAAACAAAAAACCAUGUUUAUUGAGUAUGGUAACUGAUGAGAAAUAACAGCAAAGAAGGUUAAUGAGGAAAGGUUUUCUGAACUGCCAGAGUAUGAACUUCAAUUUUAAAGGUUGGUAAUACUGAGAGGGUGUGGGAAAUGGUGCAUUACAGGAUGAGGAAAAGUUAAGUAUUUAGGAACGUGGGUGGAAAUUCAGUAACAUACUGCUGUGAUGGCAGCAGGUAAGGUUCUAGAUGACUCCACUGUCAGGUUCAUGACACAGUAGGGCAGAAGGAAAAAAAACUUAUAAUCGGAGACAGAGCUUCAACUUGGAAUGCCUGUUCCACUAUGUCCAUCUGUCUGACUCUGGGCAAGUAACAACCCUCCCCGUGUCAGUCUCCUCACUUUACAAAAUGGGAAAAUGUAGCUUGGGUCGGGGGCUUAGAGAUGACACGAGACGAGGCGUGUUAAGUCACAUGUGAUAGAAAGGUACUUGAUCAUGGUAGUUAUCACUUAAAAUUUUUUUUUAAAUGUUCAUUCAUUCAUUUCCAUAGAGAGAGAGUGCAAGCAGGGGA